CCUUAAAACAACGAGUUUGAACUUUGAUUGUUUGAUGGCUCUAAGACUCAAAAACGAACGGGACCGCGAACAAGAUCUAAAUCCGAAAACCUCACCGGAAACCUCGUCGAACUCAGACCGGAUUGCCUCGCUACCUCCCUUUACUCAGAUCUGAGCGUCCAAGACUUUAAACUCACUAAAAUUCGACCUUUAAUGGCAGUACCUUUUGUCGAUCGAAAGUAUUUUGAAGAUAAGAGUGGAAUCGAAGUUCUGACGUGAAGUUAACAAUGGGAAGCUAAUGGAGCUAUGGAGGUUGCAUAAUAGUUUUAAUGGCUAUUUUCUGUGGAGAUCGAGUGUAGUUAGGCAGCAGCUCUUCUGAUACUAGGCAUGCUCUGUUUUCUCUCCGUCCUCCUCCCUCUCGUCACUCUCUCUGUCCGUUCCUCCGUAUAUCUCUUACACUAUUUUGUUUCUGAUUUUACCAUCCUCUUCUUCUUUUUUUGAGAAGAAGGGGUGUCAGGUGCGGUUCUCCUUCAGCUAUGUGUGUGUGUGCGUGUUUUCCGGCGGAUUUUGGUGGAAAGGGGCUGGUUUUCGGUGGACUUUGGUGGCAGUCGGCGUGGUCAAGGGAGGUGGGGGUGCGGCUCUUGUUUUUGGGGUCAGGCCUGGGCGUCGGCAGUAGGUAGGUAAGGGCGAAGGCGGCAUAGACGGAAUGGAGAUGAGGUGGGAUGGUUGUUGGCUUUUCCAGGGUUCCUAGGUUUUGAUGAUAUUAGCUUUAUAUAUGGUAUGAAGGAAAUAUCUUGGCUAUUGGAUUAAACGGAUGGAAGGCCAAGAUUGAAUCACUUAAACUGAUGGGUCCAAUGGAUUUGAUGGGCGUGGGUCGCGGGUCAUGGGUUAAAAAUGGUUUGAGGGAUUGGGCUGGUUUAAUUGGGUAAGGGAUCCGAAUUGGGCUAUCUCAAGGUUGGGCUUUUAAAAUGAUGAAAUUCAUUAACUAAAAACCUAAGUUUUCCUUCUUUAAUAUAAAGUAUUUAUAAAAAUGUAAGACCACUCCUGGUUGAUUUUAAUAAACUAUUAAAAUAAAAAUAAAAAUUAAAAGCAAAACUAUUUUUGGUAUUUUCAAAGAUUAAACUAAAAUAAGGCUAAAUUAGUAUCACCAUAAAAAUACUAACUACUUAAAUAAAUACAAAUAAGAUAAAGAGUGAAACUAUUUUUUUGUUUUUAAUUUUUUAAAUGCUAAAACAACAAAAUAAAAUAUUAUAUAUACAUAUUAAAAUCCUACAAAAUUUAAUAUAAACUCAAAUAUAUAUGUAUAAAAUAUUCGACUGGCUUGAGAACGUGGCGGGUCAAAAAUUAUGUGCUUACAGCUGCCCCUCUUUGCUUGGAAACACGAAGUAUUUUUGAGCAAAGAAAUAAGCAAUGUAAUUGAUUUCUGACCCGACACUUAUUCGAAAGAAAAUAAAAAUGGAUAAAAAGAUUGUGCCCGAGCCCUGGUAUCUGAGCUGCCUACAUAUCCUCAGCUAUAAAGGAAUCAGGCCAUGUGUAGUUCAGAAGUGAUGGAGUAUGUGGAGAGGAUGAGAGAGCCGAGUGAGGUACCGUCGAGGUUCCGGUCCGCGGUUCCUGCCAUUACAUCAAAAAUAAAAAAUCAAAUAAAAAUUACAUGGAAACCACUAAAUCUUAUCUAUUGUUCUGUCUUGAAUCUUUUAUAGUCUUGUUGUGCAUCUCGAACUGUUGACUCGCAUUCUUGAGGCGAACUUCAGCUACUUUUAACAUGAAUUGACCAUAUUCUUCAGGCGGGCUCCUGUUGUUGACUUGAAGCUUGAACUAACUCUGAAAUGAACUCCCUCGUUCUUCAGGUGAGCGUCUGCUACUGACUUAAAAAUUGAAAUAACUCUGAGAUGAAUUCCCUCAUUCUCCAGGUGGACGCCUACUACUGACUUGAAAUUUGAAGUAACUCUGAAAUGAAUUCCCUCGUUCUUCAGGCGGGCUCCUGCUAUUGACUUGAAGCUUGAACUAACUCUGAAAUGAAUUCUCUCAUUCUCCAGGUGGGCGCCUGCUACUGACUUGAAAUUUGAAGUAACUCUUAAACAAAUUCCCUCGUUCUCCAGGGGGCGCCUGCUACUUCUCUGAAUUUAACCUGAAACCAAUUUCUGAGAUAUUGACCCUCGUUCUCCAGGUAGGUACCUGCAAUCGAAAACAACAAAACAAAUAAAAUUUUCUGCCCCAGUUUGCACUAGGAAGAUUUUUGAGUUGUCAGCAAAACUGUAAAUCACCUAUGCUAUUGAUGCAAUGAUGAGAGUAAAACUAAAGACUAGGCUAGGAUGUGCGUCUCCUGUGAGUAAAACCAAGAAAAUGUGACUAGCAAAUGCAUCUGCUAAGAGAAAACCUGAAUGACCCGAACUAGGAAGUGCGUCUCCUAUGAGUGAAAUCUCAAUUUAGGAAAUGCGUCUCCUAAAAGUAUAUCCUGAAAGACCCAAAUUAGGAAGUGCGUCUCCUACGGUUGAAACUUGAAUGAACCAACCUAGGAAGUGCGUCUCCAAGGGGUGAAACAUGAAUGAAUCAAAAUAGGAAGUGCGUCUCCUAGGGGUAAAAUUUGAAUGAACCAAACUAGGAAGUGCGUCUCCUAGGGAUGAACUUAAAUAACCUAAACUAGGAAGUGCGUCUCCUAGGGGUGAAAUCUCAAUUUAGGAACUAGGAAAUGCGUCUCCUAGAGAUAAAACUUGAAUGACCCAAACUAGGAAGCGCAUCUCCUAGGGGUGAAACCUUUUAACACAAAAUUAGGAAGUGCAUCUCCUAAAAAGCAUGGCCUGAAAGAUUUAAACUGACCCUAUUCUCCAGGCGGGACCCCUGAACUCAAGGAAAACUAAUGAUUACCAACCUAACGAAAUUGAAAACUGACCCUAUUCUCCAGACGGGACCCUUGAACUUUAAGAAAGCUAAAGAUUAACAACUUAAAAAUUAAAAACUAACCCUAUUCUCCAGGCGGGACUCUUGAAAUCAAGGAAAGCCAAAGAUUCCUCUCAACUAGGGAAAAUGCCUAGGAGGUGUGAUCUUCUCAAUAGCCAUUGCGUAAGCAGAAUUGGGGGCAUUACACCUGAAAAAUUCAAGCUUCCAAGCUUUGGUAUGAACAUAGCCUUCAUCCAUGUUUCAGACAAAGAAAACUUGUGAGUUUAAAACAUGGUGGUUAGUUUGUGGCCUUGACUACGAGGGAGAUUUCUCUUGCACUUGUCACGAUCAACUUGGACUUCAACUUGGAAGACAGUGCUUGUUAUCGGCCGACCGCUUUUGCGGACAACCCUUAUCACAAGAAAUAUUCCUGAUUCGUUCAAGUCCAAUACCUUAUGCCUGAUGCAUUACACUCGUCUUCUAACAUUCACCAAAUCUUUGCAUUUUACAUCAAUCCUAAAGAACAUCUAUUAUCACCAACUCAGUGCACACACUAUUCUCCUGUGUCUUAUGCCAUUUUUAUGUGCUUGCCAGACUCUGCUUUAUGUGGUUAAAAGCUGGUAGCAGAUUUUGAAGUCAUUUCUCACUUGUUUCGACAAAAAUAGACUUAAAAGGGACUCAAACAAAACAAGAGGAACAAAUUAAGGAGAAAAACGAGAAGAGACGGUAUCUAACAAGAAAAGUUUUACCCAGGAAAAAGAACAAAGUAAAAAACUAAUCGGAUUUGAAGGCCAACUCCAUUGAUCAUGACAUGCAUUUUGGAUUAAGCGGUCUGAUCUGUCAAGCGAGUCUAAUCUUCAACUCUUGUUAUGCCACUAAUUUGUGAAAUUGUGCUUCAGCGCUCCAAUUGUCCUAUGUGAUCCACAAUCCUCAGUCGACUUGUAGUGCCCUGAAGGAUUUUCACCAUCAAGCCUCUCUCAUUUUGCUCUUUUUCUCAGCUCACCGUCGCCUUACAGUGCCCGUGAGGGUUUUCACCACUAAGACUCUCUCAUUUUAUCAUUUUCUCUCUUUGUGCUGAGAACAAGGUAUUACCCAUGAUGCAGGAAGAUCAUACUUUUACCACACACUUUCUUUGGCAUCCUCAAAGAUUGGUCGGAAGGUUUUUCUUUGGACCGUAAUGUAGGCCUUUGGAUAGGGUUAAAAAGAAAGGAUGGUAUAAAGGCUCAAAACAACUAAAAUGGAAGGGGUUUUAACUUACAACUUUUGGAAUCAGAUCUAUUUGUAAAACUAAAACAUCUGCCCCAGUUUCAUUGAGUCUAGGGAAUUUUUUUGGAUUUUUAUUUUGUUGGGACCUAACCUCAGAGUAAGGCUGCCUACGUAUCCUUAAAAGGAAUCAGGUCAAAUGUAGUUCUAACACAAAGUUGGUUUAUUUUGUUGUUUUUCUUUUCCUUUUCUUUCUUUUUCUUUUUUUUCCUUUUUUUUCUUUUCUCCUUUUUUUUCUCUUUUCUUUUCUUUUUCCUUUCUAGUUCCUAACUCUACUUCUGAUUCCAAAAAAGGGGUAUGAAACAAAACAAAUUAAGGCUCAAAAGGGAUAGCAAAAGAUAAAAGUGUUUGGAUAACAGAAUAAAAUGCCUUCGUCAUACCAAACUUUAAAAAUGCCAAGUACAAAUAUGCAAUCGAAGAUAAGCAAAGAAAUCAUACAUAGUAUCUAUUGAUGGCAUCAACACAAACAAAAAGUGCCAAUGAGCAAUACCUUUGUCCCAAUGAAUGAUCCUUGCUAGUUCGAAGCAGACUUGACUCAACCUUAUCUUGAUGUGGAAGAAUGCAUUUCAAUACUGAUUGAUCUACCUCAAACUACUUGUAAGACAUUUCCUUGUUGUAUGCUCUUAUCAACCUCUUGAUUUCUCACACCAACUGCCUCAAUUUCACUCAAUUCAAGCUUCAGGUUAUCUUAGAAUGCGUGAAUCUUUACUUGUUUCCUCAAAUGCAUCUUUUUAUCAUAUUCAAAACUGUGUUUCAUUAUUCCAUGAUUAGACUGGUUUUCAAGAUCUGGCUAAAAUCUCCGCAUGAAUGUCAUGUCACUAGAACUGGCGUGAAGAGAACUAAGCACAGAAUGACACAAAAGGACAAACUGUAUUUUAUUGAGUAAAGGAUGGAAGGGUUUAACGACAAGACAAACAACCUAAAAUCCGAGUCACAACCCUAAAAUAACCCGGAUAAUAGCAACAGAACAGACAGACAAGAUUCACACAAAUAGAGGGAUGGAAGGGUUUGACUCAAUAAAACAAAUAAAAUCUGGAUCACAACCCUGAAGUAACCCAGAUAAUAGAAAAAACAUCAAAACAAGCUACCCAGAUUCCUUCCUAGUAAGGAGGGAAUGACCUUUCAAUUGCUAAGCUUGACAUUUAGCCACAAAUUUGCUCAUCAUAAUCAUCAGGGCCUUCUCCCAUUUCAAAAUCAUUAACUUUAGUCAGCAAGUUCCCGAAAGGAUUCUCAUACUCCAUGUCACCACGCAUCAUCCCCACAAAGUGUGCAUCAUCAUGUGCAGGUAAAUGAUUCUACGCGAUAUUCUGGAUGUCACUGUCCUGGAUCACAAUUCUCUCUUCUUGAAUCAUUCUUUCUAUCUCCCUUUUCAAAGCACGACAAUCUUCAAUGCUAUUCCCUUGGACAUUAGAGUGGUACAUGCACCGUACAGCAGGAUCAAAACCUUUUGCAUAUGGGUCCGGAUUAUAGCCGAGGAGCCACCGUACAGCAGGAUAAAAACCUUUUGCAUAUGGGUCCGGAGUAUAGUCGAGGAGCGGCUCAAUCAGUCCAUAAUGUUUUAACUUUUCAAACAAGCUUGUGUAGGAUUCUCUGAUUGGCGUGAAACUAUUUCUUUGCCUUUGUUCCCCUCCAUGCCCCUAUUUUCUAGGGUUGUUGGAUGCUAAAAAAUGUUAUGAAGGCAAGAGUGUAUUAUGCAGUGCUGGCGCUCGCCAUAAGGAGUAACCCGGUGGUUGGACAGAUGACCGAACGUUGUUCGGAGGAUAAUACUAAGGUGGAUUAUAUGGAGCUCGGGGAUAGGUUUGGGGUUGGGGUUGGGGUCGGGGUCGAGGCUAAGUAUAUUGGUGAGGCAGACCCGUUGGGCCAUGUCGUGAUCCUGAGACAACCAUGGCAACAUCAUCAUAUUCCUCUGACCCAGCAAGCUCCUGUGUCGUUCUGAAUUGCUUGUGUGUGGCUUUAAAGCAGAUAGCUCAUGAUCUUGCUUGACUUUAGCCCAUAUUCUACCAUUUCUCCCAUUUUUACCACAUUAUUAAAAGGCUUACCCAUAGCCGAGAUCAAAUUCCCAAAGUAAGUAGGCUCUUGAGCUUGAAGAAAGUACUCGACCAUCUCGUCUUCUUCCAUCCGGGGAUUGACUCGGGCAGCUUGCUCUCUCCAUCUGAGCCCGUAUUCCCUAAAGCUUUCAUUAGGCUUCUUUUCCAUCUUUGUGAGGGACAUGCAAUCCAGGACAAUUUCUAUAUUGUACUGAAAGUGCCGGGCAAAGGCCUGAGCCAUAUCGUCCCAUGUGUACCAUCCGAUAGCGUCUUGGCAGGUGUACCACUCUAGAGCUGCCCUACUCAGACUCUGACUAAAAUACGCCAUUAAUAAUUUUUCCUUCCCGCCGGCGCCUCUCAUCUUACUGUAGUUGCCUCUCAAAUGGGCCACGGGAUCUCCAUAUACGUCAUACAAAUCAAACUUUGGUAUCUUAAACCCAGCAUGUAGUUGGACAUCAGGAAACAAGCACAAAUCUUUGUAAGACACGCUCACUUGUCUCCCUAUCCCUUGCAUGUUUCUUAAAGACUGCUCUAAGAUUUUCACCUUCCUGGAUAUCUCAUCUUGCUCCACUAUCUUAGCAGGCUUUUCAGUUUCACCGGGAGGCUCAAAAUGAGGAACGUCAGAGUAUGGAUCCGAGACCUUGAAAGUUGGUUCUGGAGCAUAGUGUUGGGCAUCGGGGACUUUGAACACAGUCUCUCUAGAGGAUCGAGGAAGAGUAGCUGGUGGAGGAGCUACAAAAACAUGAGUGGUCAAAGGAGCGGGAUAUGAGGUGGUUUUGGGGGGUGGAGUGUGAAAAGGUUGUGGGGAGAUAUCAGCAGCAGUGGGAAUCUGGAUUUGUGACAAUGGCGGAAUAGUGAUGAGGCUUUCAGUGUAGUUAGUGGGAAACAAUGGUGGACGCCCACUAAUCUAGGCUUGGUAUAUUUCGUCCAUCUGUCCUUUCAACCUUAGGACCUCUUCUUUCAACUCAGAUUCUCAUUCAACAGUCUCCUUAGGCAGAUCAACAACACAUGUGUCCAAGUCUUUGCUAGACAUGGCUAUCUUGCUCUUUGACCUUGUGUUAUAUGGAUGACUCGCUAGAAUGCCACAAACUAACCACCUUCUGUUAUGAUAACAAUGAAAGUACCAAAGAAGAUCAAAACAAAGACAACAUGUUAGCGUUAGAGCAUUUAUCAUAUAGAAAUAUCACAUUGCGUGCAAUGUACCUAGCAACAAUUAACGGUUCUAAAAUAACUUCGAGGGUCACAAGGUCAUUUGGCAUUAUCCAAAUUUUGUUCAUUUCAAUCUUCUCUUUCCUUUCUUUUCUAGAACUUCUUGGCUUGCUCAUUUUCCUUCCUCUCUUUUCUUUCUUAUUAUCACUAUUUUCUUUCUCUCACCCCUCACGUCCCAAAACUUCAUUCUCUUUUUUUCUUUUUUUUUUUAAUAAUGAUUUGAUCAAACUCUAUGUAGGUUGCUUGCGUAUCAUGUUCCACAUGAAUCAGACCAAGCGUAGUUCUGGAAAAGUAAUGGAUAAAAUAAACUAAAAACAAAAAACUUUUUGGAUUUUUCAUUUAUAACUAUUUUUUUUUCAAAUACAAAUGUGAAGUACGAUGAAAAAAGACUCGAUAAACUCUUACACCACCUAAAAGACUCAAAACUACUAGACAAGACAAGAAAGUAAAAGAAAACAUGAAAAUAGACAAAAAAAUAUAAAAAGUCACUUGAAACAAGCUCCCAAAUGCGAUGGCCCUGGGGUAUCUGUCAUGCUCGAGCUCUGGUACAUGGAUCCAUACCUGAAUGAAAAAAAUAAGACCAAAUAAAGUUAGUGACUCGAGACACUAUGUGAGCCAUAACACCUCCUAUUAGGCACAUGCAAGAUGCGAGUGGGGCUAUUUCUACAAAAUGGCUAACGAGGCCAAAAGGUGACUAGAAGUGAAAACUCAAUUAGGACGACCUCUAAAAUAUGGAAACACCUCACGAAGGCCCAUAAACUCUCAGAAAUCGCGGUCCCUAAAAUUGCUUUGUGAAAAUGACCCAACUUUGCGAAAAUGGCCUAUGUGGCCGAAAAAUGGCUAAGCAUGCAAAUUCAACAGGAAUGAACCUUAGACUGAUAGAACAUCAUGUUGUGGACUUAGGACUCUAAGACAUAGGUUAACAAGCCACUUUGAGAAAAUAGCCCUAUUUUACAAAAACGGCCGAUGUGGUCAAAAGUGGCUAGACAUGCAAGAUUUGGCUAUGACCCUCGAAGACAAGAACUUAAGACUCACUAGGAAGACCGGACCCUAUGUGGGCUGCCUACGUAUCCCGACCCGAAAGACGAGAACCAGUUAUGCGUAGUUCGUGAAGAUUGGAUACGGAAGAAAACUAAAAAAAUAACUAAUUUGGAGAAAACAUAUUUUUGUCUUUUUUGGGAAAUGAUGGGAAAGUGCAAAAUCUUUUUGAAUUUUUUCAUUUUCAUUUUUUUAUUUUUUGGUCUUUUCUUGAAAAGGUUGUGAAAGAAAAGUAUAACUGGGCCCUACUUGCUUCAUUUUUAUACUUCACCUUAUUUUCUUUCUCAUUUACCCUCAACCAACAUUGGCCUGUCAAAUGACCCCUUUAUCCUUAAAGAAUGCAGCAUGUAGCACUUAGGGAUGAUUAAAUAUCUUUUGUGGCCGCGAGCCCAUGUUGACAAAAUUUGGAUAGGCCUCCUACAAAGGGAUACGGCACCUGGGACCAAGCCCUGCUAGGUCUAAAUGAUAUGAUGCAAAUAAGAAUGACCUAAAGGCUGACCAAAGUUUAGGGUUCACUAGACAAGGCAAUUCGGGGGAGCGUAUGGUCGAUGGUGGCUGCUCAAGCUUUCCACCCACUCCAUACGUUCGUGUACGCGACGUGCACUAUGAGACUUGUUGCAGAAAGAAUUGACCGGGUAAUGCAUAUGAUGACAGUUAUAAAGCAGUAACACAUAAAUAAAAAAAAUUGUAAACACAUAAACAGCUAGCAAAUAAUAAAAUGGCAUAAACAAAAUAAAAAUCACAUAAAGUAAAACAUAAAAACCUCAACCGAAUAUUCUAAAAAGCCAACAAGAUCAAGUACCAGCUCGAACCUGCAACUCCCCCGCAGAGUCGCUAAAGCUAUCACACCCUUUUUUUUUCACCUCACUAACCCCACUAUAAAAUAAUAAAACGAUUUUGAAAGCUCAAAAGGGUUUUCAAGUCCUAAAAGUGACAAAGGAUUGUGUUUUAAAGGAUUUUCAGAGUCGCCACCUGACAUUUGAUUUCGGUGUGCCAGGUCACUAUUUUUUAAAUAACAAUUUUCCUUCAAAACAUAUUUUGACUCUUAAACCAAUUACACCAGAAAUUCUAGGUAAGGGAGUUCACUUGACUCGGGGAGAAGGUGUUAGGCAUUCCCCGAGUCCCGUGAAAGUCACGGUUGCGUACUCGAUCUAGUUGGCUUUUAAAAUAUUCAAAUUGAGGUAAAAAAAUAUAGAGAAAGGAAAAUAAACACACAAGAGGCUUGAGGUCGUCCCCACCUAAUAAAAGGAAUAAAAAUAAAAUAAAAUACUAAAGUUCUAUUCUACGCUUCCACGCAUCAUCCAGUCUCUGGCCUUCAUUUACAUGUACUUCGGGGCAUUCUCCGGGUAAAAUUUUUACAAACUCUUCGAGAUAUUUUCCGAAAUAUAAACUAAAGGGAACGACCUCUUACCUCGAAUGAAAUAAAAGACAAGACCUAAAGUUUGCCUACCCGGAUGUGGUCGGCCUAAGCAUGCUCCUAACGAUCAAAUGGGUAUAGCGAAAUAAAGAACUAAUAGAAAUGAUCCAAAGCUCAAAUUGUUUUAACUUUUUCAAUUCUCUGCCAUGACAAUUUUGCCUUAAGGAGUCCAAAUGUGAUUUUGCUCUUUAAAUCAGGCAAACCCCCACGGCCAAUUUAUCAAUUAAACGACAAAAUCCAACAAACCACUAAUUUUAAGCUAUAAGUGAACUAUCAUUCUUUUCUUCCUCUUAAUCAAGUUUAAUGAAUGAUAGGCUAAUGAUCUAACAAUAAUCCUUAAAGCUAAUAAUAAAAGGAAUAUGAAAGCAAUAUGAGUGCCAACCAAAUUAAUACACUGCUUUUGUUUGAUUUCAUCAAAAGUUAAUACACAGAAUUUUAAGAAAGGCAUGAGUAAGAAUCUGACCUUAAAACAACGAGUUUGAACUUUGAUUGCUUGAUGGCUCUAAGACUCAAAAACGAACGGGACCGCGAACAAGAUCUAAACCGAAAACCCUCGCUGGAAACCUCGUCGAACUCUGACCGAAUUGCCUCGCUACCUCCCUUUACUCAGAUCUGAGCGUCCGAGACCUUAAACUCACUGAAAUUCGACCUUUAAUGGUAGUACCUUUUGUCGAUCGAAAGAGUUUUGAAGAUAAGAGUGGAAUCGGAGUUCUGAUGUGAAGUUAACAAUGGGAAGUUAAUGGAGCUAUGGAGGUUGCAUAAUAGUUUUAAUGGCUAUUUUCUAUGGAGAUCGAGUGUAGUUAGGCGGCGGCUCUUCUGAUACUAGGCAUGCUCUGUUUUUUCUCCGUCCUCCUCCCUCUCGUCACUCUCUCUGUCUGCUUCUCCGUAUAUCUCUUACUCUAUUUUGUUUCUGAUUUUACCAUCCUCUUUUUUUUUUUGAGAAGAAGGGGUGUCAGGUGCAGUUCUCCUUCAGCUCUGUGUGUGUGUGCGUGUUUUUCGGCGGAUUUUGGUGGAAAGGGGCU
rnacentral:lncRNA from 1 species